rnacentral:rRNA from 1 species
UACGUAGGCAGCGAGCGUUGUUCGGAAUUACUGGGCGUAAAGAGUGUGUAGGCGGUUCUCUGUGUUCGGUGUGAAAUCUCCCGGCUUAACUGGGAGGCUGCAUCGAAAACUGGAGGGCUUGAGUAUGGGAGAGGAAAGCGGAAUUCCUGGUGUAGCGGUGAAAUGCGUAGAUAUCAGGAGGAACACCUGCGGUGUAGACGGCUUUCUGGACCAUCACUGACGCUGAGACACGAAAGCGUGGGGAGCAAACAGG